UACGAAGGGGGCUAGCGUUGCUCGGAAUGACUGGGCGUAAAGGGCGCGUAGGCGGCUGUUACAGUCAGAUGUGAAAUUCCUGGGCUCAACCUGGGGGCUGCAUUUGAUACGUGAUGGCUGGAGUGGGGAAGAGGGUCGUGGAAUUCCCGGUGUAGCGGUGGAAUGCGCAGAUAUCGGGAGGAACACCCGUGGCGAAGGCGGCACUCUGGGACGGUACUGACGCUGAGACGCGAAAGCGUGGGGAGCAAACAGG
rnacentral:rRNA from 1 species